GUGCUCACUACCUAUGGAGGAAGCCGAUUACAUGGACUUUCGUGCAGAAGUCGAUCCAGUCCUGUAUGUGUCCGGUCCUGCUAAUACAACUCCAGCUCCAGUUCUGCUGACGUUACACGCCGGUAACACGAGGCAAGCUCCAUGCACUCAGCUUGCGGUCUCUGGUCAUAUCUUGCCAGCAUCUAAGUCCAGCGGUGAGGAAAAUAACAUCCUAAGCGCCUGCCAGCGCCAACGGUCUCCCGGUCUUCUGAAACCAUCAGCACUUGCCAGCGCCUCCAGCCCGUGACGACCACCACCGCCUGCCAUCAGGACUUUGCUAGGCUACACCAUCAGUACCAUCUAGGACCGCCGCCUGGAGCUUUUUUGUGCCAUAAUCCACCCAGGCACAGGAACAACUUAACCUGCCCCCAGCGUGAGCUGCCCGAGCUGCUACAACCAUUACAUACAGGACCGCAGCUCCGUCAGGUCCCUGGUCUACUCUGACUGAAAAUAGUAAGGCUACUUCACCAUUGGACGCUCUGUGGCAUGUAGAUGUUACAAAACUGUCAAAGUGAGAGGCUUAUACUUGCAUGGAGAUGCAGAAGUCCCAUUGACUUCAGUGGCCAAAACAUAGUCAGCUAGACAUUCUGGGCAUUUCCUGCACCAGAAAAAAGGAUAUUUUUAUCCUGCCCAGGAGACAGUAUUAAACACAGAAGAGAUGUCCAGCCCGGCAGCUCGUGAACAUGAUUAUAUCUUUACUGAAUACAUAAAAUCUCUGCAGGUUCGUAUUUGAAGCAAGGUGCUGUGGAGUACAGCUCUGAAAGGCACACCAUGUCCCCUGUAGAUGCAGCACUUCUCAAAGAUGUACCUGUCUACGUGAAUAAUUCACAAAAGAUUCUGGCAUCCUGUGCACUGCGAGUAAGGAGAGCUGAGGAGCAGAUGGGUAUUUGUGAAUUAUGAGUCACUUUUAACAUAACGUUAUAUGAGA